ACUCCAUAGAAUCUUUACCCAUCAGAGUUGAACCCUGGUCUGAGUAGUUGUGAAAGGGGGAGUCACAAAAUUGAAGUUGACUUUCAUUCUUUUGUGACACACUAGCUAGUUUCCAAAAACA
rnacentral:snoRNA from 1 species